rnacentral:sRNA from 1 species
AUAUCUCUCUGUACGGGAAGGAUGAGAAGCUUCGACCAAGGUUCGAUUCGAGCGCAGCGAGAAAGCGUUGCCGCAGGCAACGACCCGAAGGGUGAGGAGCGGAGCGACGAAUAAUCCUUCCCCCACCACCA